rnacentral:rRNA from 1 species
UAGGAUAAUUGAAAAUUAAAUGUAAAACAUUAAAUUUAAAUAAUUUGGCGGUAUUUUAAGUAAUUAGAGGAAUUUGUUAGAUAAAUGAUAAUCCACGAUAGGAAAGUCCUAAAAAGUAUUUUUAUGUAUUGUUAUUUAAAAAUUAUUUUAAAAGAAUAAAUGAUUAGGAAAUUUAAUUAAAAUUUAAAUUUAAAUCAAAAUAUAGAAUUUUUAGGAUUAGAUGAAUUACAGUUUAUUUAAAAUUAUAUAAAAAUUGGAAUUUAAUAUUAAAGUAUUAUGAUGAAAGAGAAUUUAAGAGUAAAAUUAUUAAAUUAAAUAAUUUGGAGAUUAAAUAGAAUAUGUACAAAUUGCCCGUCAUUUUC